rnacentral:rRNA from 1 species
GGAUGCGAUCAUACCAGCACUAAAGCACCAGAUCCCAUCAGAACUCCGAAGUUAAGCGUGCUUGGGCGAGAGUAGUACUAGGAUGGGUGACCUCCUGGGAAGUCCUCGUGUUGCAUUCU